rnacentral:rRNA from 1 species
GACGAACGCUGGCGGCGUGCCUAAUACAUGCAAGUCGUGCGGACCUUUUAAAAGCUUGCUCUUACAAGGUUAGCGGCGGACGGGUGAGUAACACGUGGGCAACCUGCCUGUAAGACUGGGAUAACGCCGGGAAACCGGGGCUAAUACCGGAUCGUUUUUCCUCCGCGUGGAGGCAAAAGGAAAGGCGGCUUCGGCUGCCACUUACAGAUGGGCACGCGGCGCAUUAGCUAGUUGGCGGGGUAACGGCCCACCAAGGCAACGAUGCGUAGCCGACCUGAGAGGGUGCGCUGCCAAACUGGGACUGAGACACGGGCCAAAACCCUGCGGGAGGCAGCAGGAGGGGAUCUUCCGCGAUGGACGAAAGUCUGAAGGAGCGACGCCGCGUGAGAGACGAAGGCCGUCGGGUCGUAAAAGUCUGUUGCCGGGGAAGAACAAGAACCGUUCGAACAGGGCGGCGCCUUGACGGUACCCGGAGAGAAAGCCACGGCUAACUACGUG